CCGGCGGUUGCUCAAGUGGUUAGAGCAGCUCACAUGCGUGAGUAAAUCAAAAUUGAAUCCUGCCCGGGAUUCACACCGCAAUUCCUGGAUGUCUAUACCGGUUCAAAUCCGGUCCGCCGGG
rnacentral:tRNA from 1 species